GAGUGAAAAACACAUCCCGGUUGGUAGUCCGGGAGCAGCACAGUGCUGUCAGUAACCUGCCUCCUUGGUUGUCCGCACUC
rnacentral:ncRNA from 1 species